CCCAGCUGGUGCACGAAGGCAGCGUGUUGUGUUUCAGGCACCCGGCACAGACGAGACCAAGACAGGUGCAGGGAGAUGCUGUGUUUCAUUGUCAUGAACACUGAAAAGUUUUGACUGACAGUUCUGAAUCAUCAGCACCAGGAGGCAGCGAAAUCUCACCAAAGAGAAGGAAGAUUAAGAAAAGAAAUAUCAGCGAGCAAGAAACAAGUGCGGCUUGGGCACUAAACUGAAGUUGUCCUGCAGACCAGAUUCCGUCUGUUCCUGGAGGUGGAGAUGAUGCUAGUGUACGGUGACGACCAAGACAUGACACACAAAACCACAGAGUCCCUGGCUCCACAAUUAAUGUGUCAAGGCUCUGAAAUAGUGAGCCCUCCAACUGGACCUAAUCUCAGCUCUCUGCCUCAAAUUGACAAAUGGCUUGAUGUUGCCUUAAAAGAUGCCGACUCAUACUACCGGCAGAAGAAAUAUGUGAUAGCUUCUAGUCGUUCCGCUGCAGCGCUGGAGAGGCGGUCCCCUGCGGCCUGGCACUGUGGCACUGACAGUUCCUGCUCCCAGUUUGAACCUUCUGCCACUGGAAUGGAGAGGAGUCUCACUGCGACUCCCACUGGA